UACGAAGGGGGCUAGCGUUGCUCGGAAUCACUGGGCGUAAAGCGCACGUAGGCGGCUUUUUAAGUCAGGGGUGAAAUCCUGGAGCUCAACUCCAGAACUGCCUUUGAUACUGAGGAGCUUGAGUCCGGGAGAGGUGAGUGGAAUUCCUAGUGUAGAGGUGAAAUUCGUAGAUAUUAGGAAGAACACCAGUGGCGAAGGCGGCUCACUGGCCCGGUACUGACGCUCAUGUGCGAAAGCGUGGGGAGCAAACAGG
rnacentral:rRNA from 1 species